rnacentral:rRNA from 1 species
UUCUACAGUCAUGCCACCCUGAACACGCCUGAUCUCGGAAGCUAAGCAGGGUUGGGCCCGGUUAGUACUUGGAUGGGAGACCACCUAUGAAUACCAAGUGCUAUAGGCG